GGUAUCUGUGACUCAGUGGUAGAGCAUCAUCUUUGCAUGAAGAAGAUACCAGGUUCAGUCCCUGGCAUCUCCA
rnacentral:tRNA from 1 species